rnacentral:pre_miRNA from 1 species
UGGGAGAUCCUUGUCCGGAAAUACUUGUCAUUGAAAUGAAUGUAUCUAGAUGUAUUUUAGUUGUAGAUACAUCCAUUUUCAUCAAUUUUGAUGACAAGUAAUUCCGGACGGAGGGAGCACAUC